UUCAGGACUGAUCAGAAAGGUGCAGCAGACAUUGGUCUGGUGUACUGCUGCCAAGAUGAAGCAAGUGUAUGGUGUGGUCCUUACAGCUGUCCUACUGGCUUUUCAAAUUUCAUCUCAGGUGGUCUGGACACAAGAUGAUCCAAAUAUGCCUACUGCCAGCAGUAUUACCCCACCUACUGAAGAGACAGACUUAACCAGUGUUGCUCCAACUGCUGACAGCUCGGUCUCUGCCAGUGUCACGCCAACUGUUGGCAGUACUGCAUCGGUGACCAAUUCCACCUUCAACUCUACCUCUGGAAGUACUCCUAGGAGGACUGCAGGCAAUCCUUUGCUGCUUCUCGCUCUGCUCUUGGUGGUUCCUGUUUAUGCUUGGUGCCAGUGACUGGCCGGACUGGACUCUUGCUGUCAGUUUAAGUUGCAGCUCUUCAAAGCUGGACAAUCUUGAGCACACUUGGAUUUCCACUUUCUAUCUUGUGUUGAGUUUUCAGUGUCUACAACAAACUAGUCCCUUUCUAAUGUCCUGGUUAAACUUGUAUCAUGGAAGUUAUGUAUGAGGGAGGUGAAAUUGUACUGGCUACAAGACUUAACUCAGUCUUGGGAAGCUUUGUUUUGAAAUGCUUCAUUUGAUAAACUUUGUAUAUUUAUAAGAAUUUCUGACUUUUAGGCUGACAGAAUAAAGCUGUACAUUGAAAAAUGUG